rnacentral:rRNA from 1 species
AACGAACGCUGGCGGCAGGCCUAACACAUGCAAGUCGAGCGGACCCUUCGGGGUUAGCGGCGGACGGGUGAGUAACGCGUGGGAAUAUGCCCUUCUCUACGGAAUAGUCCUGGGAAACUGGGGGUAAUACCGUAUACGCCCUUUGGGGGAAAGAUUUAUCGGGGAAGGAUUAGCCCGCGUUGGAUUAGGUAGUUGGUGGGGUAAUGGCCUACCAAGCCGACGAUCCAUAGCUGGUCUGAGAGGAUGAUCAGCCACACUGGGACUGAGACACGGCCCAGACUCCUACGGGAGGCAGCAGUGGGGAAUCUUAGACAAUGGGGGCAACCCUGAUCUAGCCAUGCCGCGUGAGUGAUGAAGGCCUUAGGGUUGUAAAGCUCUUUCAGCUGGGAAGAUAAUGACGGUACCAGCAGAAGAAGCCCCGGCUAACUCCGUG